rnacentral:rRNA from 1 species
UACGUAGGGGGCAAGCGUUGUCCGGAUUUAUUGGGCGUAAAGCGCGUGUAGGCGGCCACGCAGGUCCGCUGUGAAAACUCGAGGCUCAACCUCGAGCUGUCGGUGGAAACCGCGUGGCUAGAGUCCGGAAGAGGGGACUGGAAUUCCCGGUGUAGCGGUGGAAUGCGCAGAUAUCGGGAGGAACACCCGUGGCGAAGGCGGGUCCCUGGGACGGUACUGACGCUGAGACGCGAAAGCGUGGGGAGCGAACCGG